GGGACACGUGGUAUCCUGUCUGAAUAUGGGGGGACCAUCCUCCAAGGCUAAAUACUCCUGACUGACCGAUAGUGAACCAGUACCGUGAGGGAAAGGCGAAAAGAACCCCGGCGAGGGGAGUGAAAAAGAACCUGAAACCGUGUACGUACAAGCAGUGGGAGCCUCUUAAUGGGGUGACUGCGUACCUUUUGUAUAAUGGGUCAGCGACUUAUAUUCUGUAGCAAGGUUAACCGAAUAGGGGAGCCGAAGGGAAACCGAGUCUUAACUGGGCGUUAAGUUGCAGGGUAUAGACCCGAAACCCGGUGAUCUAGCCAUGGGCAGGUUGAAGGUUGGGUAACACUAACUGGAGGACCGAACCGACUAAUGUUGAAAAAUUAGCGGAUGACUUGUGGCUGGGGGUGAAAGGCCAAUCAAACCGGGAGAUAGCUGGUUCUCCCCGAAAGCUAUUUAGGUAGCGCCUCGUGAAUUCAUCUCCGGGGGUAGAGCACUGUUUCGGCAAGGGGGUCAUCCCGACUUACCAACCCGAUGCAAACUGCGAAUACCGGAGAAUGUUAUCACGGGAGACACACGGCGGGUGCUAACGUCCGUCGUGAAGAGGGAAACAACCCAGACCGCCAGCUAAGGUCCCAAAGUCAUGGUUAAGUGGGAAACGAUGUGGGAAGGCCCAGACAGCCAGGAUGUUGGCUUAGAAGCAGCCAUCAUUUAAAGAAAGCGUAAUAGCUCACUGGUCGAGUCGGCCUGCGCGGAAGAUGUAACGGGGCUAAACCAUGCACCGAAGCUGCGGCAGCGACGCUUAUGCGUUGUUGGGUAGGGGAGCGUUCUGUAAGCCUGUGAAGGUGUACUGUGAGGUAUGCUGGAGGUAUCAGAAGUGCGAAUGCUGACAUAAGUAACGAUAAAGCGGGUGAAAAGCCCGCUCGCCGGAAGACCAAGGGUUCCUGUCCAACGUUAAUCGGGGCAGGGUGAGUCGACCCCUAAGGCGAGGCCGAAAGGCGUAGUCGAUGGGAAACAGGUUAAUAUUCCUGUACUUGGUGUUACUGCGAAGGGGGGACGGAGAAGGCUAUGUUGGCCGGGCGACGGUUGUCCCGGUUUAAGCGUGUAGGCUGGUUUUCCAGGCAAAUCCGGAAAAUCAAGGCUGAGGCGUGAUGACGAGGCACUACGGUGCUGAAGCAACAAAUGCCCUGCUUCCAGGAAAAGCCUCUAAGCAUCAGGUAACAUCAAAUCGUACCCCAAACCGACACAGGUGGUCAGGUAGAGAAUACCAAGGCGCUUGAGAGAACUCGGGUGAAGGAACUAGGCAAAAUGGUGCCGUAACUUCGGGAGAAGGCACGCUGAUAUGUAGGUGAAGCGACUUGCUCGUGGAGCUGAAAUCAGUCGAAGAUACCAGCUGGCUGCAACUGUUUAUUAAAAACACAGCACUGUGCAAACACGAAAGUGGACGUAUACGGUGUGACGCCUGCCCGGUGCCGGAAGGUUAAUUGAUGGGGUUAGCGGUAACGCGAAGCUCUUGAUCGAAGCCCCGGUAAACGGCGGCCGUAACUAUAACGGUCCUAAGGUAGCGAAAUUCCUUGUCGGGUAAGUUCCGACCUGCACGAAUGGCGUAAUGAUGGCCAGGCUGUCUCCACCCGAGACUCAGUGAAAUUGAACUCGCUGUGAAGAUGCAGUGUACCCGCGGCAAGACGGAAAGACCCCGUGAACCUUUACUAUAGCUUGACACUGAACAUUGAGCCUUGAUGUGUAGGAUAGGUGGGAGGCUUUGAAGUGUGG
rnacentral:rRNA from 1 species